UCUUAAUCAUCGCACCUAUUUACACACUUUGCCAGCGCGCACCAAAAUAACAACCACGAUAAUUAUGAUAAUAAAGAGAGUCCUUUAUCUGCUCCAUCCUCGGGGAGGAAGGGGGGAGUUGCUGUGCCUCCAGAUUGUAUAACGUGAGAUUAUCCUGAUGAAAGCUUUAUGAUGUUUGCUCAAAUAAAAGCUGCGUUUUGUAAAUAGGCGCUAAUUAAGCACGUUGCGAACGCAAGGAGUGCUCACCCUGGCGCCGCCGCCCGGUUUCCAGCGCGAGGACUCGAGGGCGCGCGGUUCCUCUUUGCUAACUGCAGGAUGGAGCCGAUCCCCUCAGGAUGUUUCCCCUGUUCUCGACAACGCUCUUGUCUUCCCUUUAAAAAUGGAAUCACUUCUUGACAACGGCAGACCGUGCAGAGCGCACCAGCGCGAGCGGGGCUUCCUCGAGUCUCCAAGGCCCGGGCUUCAACUUCCCGGGUCUAGACGUCAGCCCUGAACCGCCAACAGCACCGGGUUGGGGAGAAGGAAAGAAGGGCAUUGUUAGUUCGGUCAUUAAAAAUCAGCUCACGCCGAGGAGCUAGUGGUUGGGGAGUUGGCCCGUGUUGGACGUGUGUUAUGUAUCACUUACAAGCACAUUUAAUUGGGAGAUAAAGAUAAAUCGAUCUUUAUGAAUUUA